AGCCAUCAAGUACCUAAGACAGUAAUGGCGCAGAGGUGUCAAAAGAAAAAAAAAUAAAAACAAGGCCCUACAAAGUGAACAAUUUUCGCCAUAUGAAAGCUUUUAUUUUGUUUUAUUUCUUUAGGGAAGUUGCUUGAGGGGCGAUGGCUGUGUACCGAGGCCAGCAUUUGACGACAGCCACUGCUAGUCUGCUGGUGUGUGCGCUGAUGCUGUCAGUGCUGGUGGGAUUAGAGUUCACCAGUCACCUGAAUGCCAGAAGAAAAGAGGACAAGUUUAUGUCAUAUUCUAAAGAGGUGAAGGAGGUAAAUGGCAUGAUGGAGAAUCUCGAGGCCCGGUUCGAGAUAACCAGUCUGGAGAUCCAGGCGCUCCGAAAUAGAUCGCUACGGAUGUCCGGCGAGCUUGGGGCACGCUCAGAUGCGGAGAGAUGACCCCUCGUCCAUCAUGCGUCUGUUGGUGCGUAGUUCUGCCGACCGACGAUGACAGGUACCGGAUGACGUCAUUAGGCCUACAUAAACACAACGACAGCUGUCCGCCACGUCCUUCCACGUCUCGUGAGGCCGCCAAACCGGUACCCUUGAGGUAGCAAUGGUCGAGGUCAAACAUUUGUCGUCUGGACGCUGAACUGGUCCCGUUGUGACGUAGAUGGUGGACAAAGUUGGAUGAAUUAGCCACGCCGGCUCAGGAUAUAUGGAAUACGGUACUGUUAAAUGACAUCGAAUAUGUUGCAAUCACCACAACUAAACACCGUUGUUUAUGUUACUGGUGUGUUUCCAGGGGGAGUUGAUUAUAUUUAAGUACUUAUCGAUAUUUUGCUGUGUGUAUUCGUGCUGUUUUGCGUUUGUUGUUUUGAGUUGUUAAUUUAUCGUGUUCAUGUCUACGUGUUGUUUAUAGCCGUUUGAGUUGAUCACGUAGUCAUUUUCAGAUAAGGAAACAAUGCUAAUGUUUCGGCUGCAAGUUGUGUAUAAAAGUCUGCGAGUGAUGUUCAUCUAACCAACGACACAGCCAUAGGAGGGCCAACCAUUGCCAUCCAUUGUUUUUCACUGCAGUGAGGAGUUCGUCUGAGAUAACCUGCGCGGGGCAACAAGUAUUUGGUAGACGCUCGGCGUUGUUCGAUGUUACGACGUUGCUUUAGGGGUUCGUCCAUACCGUGUUCGCUGUCUUUAAUCAGCCGUCCAGCUGUGUUCCGAUUGGGCGUCGACACUAGUGACGUCACGCGUUGUUUCUUUUUUCAGUUCACGUUAAUAUGUUGUUUUGGCGAUAAGAAUAUCGAAAUAGGACGAGUCGUAAUAGUGUGUCUUCCAUUUCAGAAAUGUUGUCGCAUGUAAUGUUUAGCAUUCCAUGUUACUCGCUGUGGACGCUUGAAGCUCUGCUAGUAAAUUGCCCUUUGAUUUGUUGUAGCAUGUCCGUCAUUAUUCGAGCUUAGAUCAGUGUCUCCAGAGAAGUUACUGUUAUGCUGGUGUCACGCAGUUUGCAGUGUACCUGUUUCUUACCAACUCAAAUUGUACGAUCGUUGUACGCAGCUUGAGUUCGAUAUAGCCAUCGAUUUCUUCCAAGGUCGUGUUCCACAGUUAUCGAAAAUUGAUUAACGUACCAAUAUGAAUUCGUGUGCUGUAGUCAUCGUGCUUUCCAAGGUCUUCUUGUGUUUUAACUGUUGCAAUAGCUUCAUAGUGUCACUGAUAGAUAAUAUAAAUACUGUUUUCA